AUGUGUCAUCCAGGAUUUCCUUUUGUGAGCCAAGAAGGUUUGAUUGUACAUACAACAUGGUUUGCAUUUCAAGGUUCAAAUGAGGCAGAACAUGAACCAAGACAUGUUCAUCAUGGUGAUGGUGGCGGUGGCUCCGGUGAGAGUGGUUCUGUGAAGCGAUGCGUGUGCUCGCCGUCACAACAUCCGGGGUCAUUCCGGUGCCGGCAGCAUCAUGGUCAUGGAUUGGAAUCAAUCUUGAAAAUGUAG